GUGCCCGGAAACAACAUGGCGGUAAGGGCGCGGCGGCAGAGGCAGUAUGGAUAGAGUCAUUACUGAGAUGGAGGCAAUCAAGUAUCCUCUACCAAAGGUACAGUAUAACCAAAGUCAAUUAUACAGGAACUACUAUUUCUGGUAAAUAUUAGCCAGGAAGGCUGUCUCCUGAUGAGUGAGAUGACAGAAGGAUGUGAUAGUUGAUCUAUUAUUACCACUCUAACACAG